rnacentral:rRNA from 1 species
GACUAAGCAUAUCAAUAAGCGGAGGAAAAGAAACCAACAGGGAUUGCCUCAGUAACGGCGAGUGAAGCGGCAACAGCUCAAAUUUGAAAUCUGACCCCUUCGGGGCCCGAGUUGUAAUUUGUAGAGGAUGCUUCGGGUGCGGCGCCGGUCUAAGUUCCUUGGAACAGGACGUCAUAGAGGGUGAGAAUCCCGUAUGCGACCGGCGGUCAACCCCAUGUGAAGCCCCUUCGACGAGUCGAGUUGUUUGGGAAUGCAGCUCAAAAUGGGUGGUAAAUUUCAUCUAAAGCUAAAUACCGGCCAGAGACCGAUAGCGCACAAGUAGAGUGAUCGAAAGAUGAAAAGCACUUUGGAAAGAGAGUCAAACAGUACGUGAAAUUGUUGAAAGGGAAGCGCUUGCAACCAGACCUGCCCCCGGGCGAUCAGCCGUUAUUUUUAGCGGUGCACUCGUCCGCGAUCAGGCCAGCAUCGGUUCGGGCGGCCGGAUAAAGGCCUCGGGAAUGUAGCUCCCCCCGGGGAGUCUUAUAGCCCGAGGUGCAAUGCGGCCAGCCCGGACCGAGGACCGCGCUUCGGCUAGGAUGCUGGCGUAAUGGUUGUAAGCGACCCGUCUUGAAACACGGACC